CCUACGGGAGGCAGCAGUAGGGAAUUUUCGUCAAUGGGCGCAAGCCUGAACGAGCAAUGCCGCGUGAACGAGGAAGGUCUUCGGAUCGUAAAGCUCUGUUUAAGGGGAAAAAGAGCGGAGAGCGGAAAUGAACUCCGAUUGAUAUUACCCUUCGAGGAAGUCACGGCUAACUACGUGCCAGCAGCCGCGGUAAUACGUAGGUGGCGGGCGUUAGCCGGAAUGAUUGGGCGUAAAGGGUGCGUAGGCGGCCUGCUAAGUCUGGAGUGAAAGGUACCGGCUCAACCGGUACAGGCCCUGGAAAAUGGCGGGCUAGAGGGGAGGAGAGGGCGGUGGAACUGCAUGUGUAGCGGUAGAAUGCG
rnacentral:rRNA from 1 species